rnacentral:rRNA from 1 species
UAAUACCAGCUCUCCGAGUGGUGGGGAUGCUUAUUGGGCCUAAAGCAUUCGUAGCCGGUUGGGCAAGUCCUCCGUUAAAUCCAGCGAUUCAAUCGUUUGGACUGCAGGGGAUACUGUCCAGCUAGGGGGCAGAAGAGGCCGACGGUAUUCUCGGGGUAGGGGUGAAAUCCUAUAAUCCCGGGAGGACCACCAGUGGCGAAGGCUGUCGGCUAGAACGCGCCCGACGGUGAGGGAUGAAAGCUGGGGGAGCGAACCGGACUAGAUACCCGGGUAGUCCCAGCUGUAAACGAUGCGGGCUAGGUGUCAGGGCGGCCACGAGCCGCUUCGGUGCCGCAGGGAAGCCGUUAAGCCCGCCGCUUGGGAAGUACGGCCGCAAGGCUGAAACUUAAAGGAAUUGGCGGGGGAGCACCACAAGGCGUGAAGCUUGCGGUUC